GCGGCUGUAGUAUAACGGCUAUUACGUGGGCUUCCCAAGCCUGGGACGAGGGUUCGACUCCCUUCAGCCGCU
rnacentral:tRNA from 1 species